rnacentral:rRNA from 1 species
UGGAGUAAAGUCGUAACAAGGUUUCGUAGGUGAACCUGCGGAAGGAUCAUUA